rnacentral:rRNA from 1 species
GAUGAACGCUAGCGGCAGGCCUAAUACAUGCAAGUCGUACGGGAUAAGUUGUAGCAAUACGACUUUGAGAGUGGCGUACGGGUGCGUAACACGUAUGCAACCUACCUUUAACUGGGGGAUAGCCCGGAGAAAUUCGGAUUAAUACCCCAUAACAUAAUAACAGGGCAUCUUGUUAUUAUCAAAACUCCGGUGGUUAAAGAUGGGCAUGCGGCUGAUUAGCUAGCUGGUGAGGUAAUGGCUCACCAAGGCUACGAUCAGUAGGGGGUCUGAGAGGAUGUCCCCCCACACUGGUACUGAGACACGGACCAGACUCCUACGGGAGGCAGCAGUAGGGAAUAUUGGGGCAAUGGACGAAAGUCUGACCCAGCCAUGCCGCGUGCAGGAUGACUGCCCUAUGGGUUGUAAACUGCUUUUCCGGGGGAAGAAUAAGGGCGACGUGUCGCCUGAUGCCGGUACCCCGGGAAUAAGGAUCGGCUAACUCCGUGCCAGCAGCCGCGGUAAU